UGGGGAAUAUUGGACAAUGGGCGCAAGCCUGAUCCAGCCAUGCCGCGUGUGUGAAGAAGGCCUUUUGGUUGUAAAGCACUUUAAGCGAGGAGGAGGCUACUUGGAUUAAUACUCUAGGAUAGUGGACGUUACUCGCAGAAUAAGCACCGACUAACUCUGUGCCAGCAGCCGCGGUAAUACAGAGGGUGCGAGCGUUAAUCGGAUUUACUGGGCGUAAAGCGUGCGUAGGCGGCUUCUUAAGUCGGAUGUGAAAUCCCUGAGCUUAACUUAGGAAUUGCAUUCGAUACUGGGAAGCUAGAGUAUGGGAGAGGAUGGUAGAAUUCCAGGUGUAGCGGUGAAAUGCGUAGAGAUCUGGAGGAAUACCGAUGGCGAAGGCAGCCAUCUGGCCUAAUACUGACGCUGAGGUACGAAAGCAUGGGGAGCAAACAGG
rnacentral:rRNA from 1 species